GCAUAUCAAUAAGCGGAGGAAAAGAAACCAACCGGGAUUGCCUCAGUAACGGCGAGUGAAGCGGCAAGAGCUCAAAUUUGAAAUCUGGCCCCUUUGGGGUCCGAGUUGUAAUUUGCAGAGGAUGCUUCGGGUGCGGUCCCCGUCUAAGUGCCCUGGAACGGGCCGUCAUAGAGGGUGAGAAUCCCGUCUGGGAUGGGCGGCCGCGCCCGUGUGAAGCUCCUUCGACGAGUCGAGUUGUUUGGGAAUGCAGCUCUAAGUGGGUGGUAAAUUUCAUCUAAAGCUAAAUACUGGCCGGAGACCGAUAGCGCACAAGUAGAGUGAUCGAAAGAUGAAAAGCACUUUGAAAAGAGAGUUAAACAGCACGUGAAAUUGUUGAAAGGGAAGCGUUGUCCACCAGACUCGCCCGGGGGGGCUCAGCCGGCACUCGUGCCGGUGUACUCCUCCCCGGGCGGGCCAGCAUCGGUUUGGGCGGCUGGUGAAAGGCCCCGGGAAUGUAACACCCUCCGGGGUGCCUUAUAGCCCGGGGUGUCAUGCGGCCAGCCUGGACCGAGGCCCGCGCUUCGGCGAGGAUGCUGGCGUAAUGGUGGUCAACGGCCCGUCUUGAAACACGGACCAAGGAGUCUAACAUCUAUGCGAGUGUUCGGGUGUCAAACCCGUCCGCGCAGUGAAAGCGAACGGAGGUGGGAGCCCCUCGGGGCGCACCAUCGACCGAUCCUGAAGUCUUCGGAUGGAUUUGAGUAAGAGCAUAGCUGUUGGGACCCGAAAGAUGGUGAACUAUGCCUGAAUAGGGCGAAGCCAGAGGAAACUCUGGUGGAGGCUCGCAGCGGUUCUGACGUGCAAAUCGAUCGUCAAAUUUGGGUAUAGGGGCGAAAGACUAAUCGAACCAUCUCGUAGCU
rnacentral:rRNA from 1 species